GAAGUGUUUUGCAACUUGGAGGGAAAUUUGCUGCUGCUGAAUGGAGUUCUUUGCCAUCUACUUGACAUUCUCUUUCCAGCUCCCCCGCAAAAGGGAGAUGGGGAACAAAGGGGGCUUCUCUCUCCCUCUGGUUAAGGAACCGAAGUGCAACAACUGCUGAAGUUCCACCUACAAACCCAAAGAACCUGCCCUUGGACACCAGUGUAAUGUUCAGCAAAACCCUUCUACUGGCAGAUUAACGAAAACAGAAAUGAGAGAGAAAGAAAACGGGUGACUCAUGGCAGUCUCUUUGCUGAAACACAGCUGCCCUUGUCCCAGGAACAGGAUUCUUAGA